CGCAGAGCAACGGGGCAGCAAUGCCCCGGUAAUGCGGGGGAACGGUUGCAACCCCGU
rfam:Clostridium asparagiforme DSM 15981 genomic scaffold Scfld9, whole genome shotgun sequence.